rnacentral:rRNA from 1 species
CCUACGGGCGGCUGCAGUGAGGAAUAUUGGUCAAUGGACGAGAGUCUGAACCAGCCAAGUAGCGUGAAGGAUGAAUGCCCUAUGGGUUGUAAACUUCUUUUUUAUGGGAAUAAAAUGUUCCACGUGUGGGUUUUUGUAUGUACCAUAUGAAUAAGGAUCGGCUAACUCCGUGCCAGCAGCCGCGGUAAUACGGAGGAUCCGAGCGUUAUCCGGAUUUGUUGGGUUUAAAGGGAGCGUAGGUGGAUUGUUAAGUCAGUUGUGAAAGUUCGCGGCUCAACCGUAACAUUGCAGUUGAAACUGGCAGUCUUGAGUACAGUAGAGGGGGGUGGAAUUCGAGGUGUAGCGGUGAAAUGCUUAGAGAUCACGAAGAACUCCGAUGGCGAAGGCAGCUCACUGGACUGCAACUGACACUGAGGCUCGAAAGUGUGGGUAGCAAACAGGAUUAGAUACCCUUGUAGUC